rnacentral:lncRNA from 1 species
UUAUACCUUUUUCCAUUAGUUAGUAAAUAAUCACAGUUCACAAUUUAUUUAGGGGUUUUUUUUCUAAGCCAGUAAUAAAUUCUAUCUUUACUACAUGCAAAAAGGGGGGGGGGCGAUGAAGGAAUACAAGAAAAUUCCCCUGUUCUGAUUUUAAAGUGCCUGUUCAGUUGUUAUAGGGCAUUUGGCCCAAUUUGAGGGGUUUGGAUUUAAUUUGCUUCUGAUGUUUCUUUUGGAAACAUUUAGGGAUAUUUUUCUUCCUCUAUCCCAUAAAUUGUUCAGCACUUUUAAUUUCAUUUAUUUUUAAAUGACCACACUAAAACUACUGAUACAAGUUCCAGUAUUCUAGAAAAACCCAUCAGUGGUUGAGGAAUAGAAUAUUUCAGUUAAAUACAUGAUUAUUUAAAACGUCAAGCCAAAAACAUUAACCUAAUUGAAUUAAAGCCAUAGAAACACAAUAACCUUUAUAUGAGUAAUUUGUUUUUAAAUGUAUGACUCUCUAAUUACUGUAUUUCAUUUUAUAGGGUUAUCCAAUAAGUGGACUACUUAUCUUCGUAUGGUUCGCUUCUCAUGAAUUAUUUUUCUUACAAAUAAUUACAUGGUUCACGAGAUGAGACUAGCACAUUAUCAAGCCCAGGUGACCAGCUUAAUACAAAGGCAAAGAAAACACUGAUUUUCUGACAGCUCUUCCAAAAGAUCAGCCAUUUUAUUUUCAUCAUUAAAAAGCAAGUUUUGAUUGUUUAGGAGUUUCUUGUGAUGAAAAAUCCAGUAAACAGGUAGGAAAGUCUGGGUGCCAGUGUUGUAGCAU